CAGACCGCCGUGAGAUGAUGAAGGCCUUAGGGUCGUAAAGCUCUUUCGCCAGAGAUGAUAAUGACAGUAUCUGGUAAAGAAACCCCGGCUAACUCCGUGCCAGCAGCCGCGGUAAUACGGAGGGGGUUAGCGUUGUUCGGAAUUACUGGGCGUAAAGCGUACGUAGGCGGAUCAUUAAGUUGGGGGUGAAAUCCCGGGGCUCAACCCCGGAACUGCCUCCUAAACUGCUGGUCUUGAGUUCGAGAGAGGUGAGUGGAAUUCCGAGUGUAGAGGUGAAAUUCGUAGAUAUUCGGAGGAACACCAGUGGCGAAGGCGGCUCACUGGCUCGAUACUGACGCUGAGGUACGAAAGUGUGGGGAGCAAACAGGAUUAGAUACCCUGGUAGUCCACACCGUAAACGAUGAAUGCCAGUCGUCGGGUAGCAUGCUAUUCGGUGACACACCUAACGGAUUAAGCAUUCCGCCUGGGGAGUACGGUCGCAAGAUUAAAACUCAAAGGAAUUGACGGAAACU
rnacentral:rRNA from 1 species